GUGCCUUAAACUAAUGAGUAAGGAAAAUUACGAACCUUGCUGACGCUUGGUUCAGCUUCCGUACUGCAACCGGCAAAUCCGGCUGCGUAAGCAUUAAUUUUUCCUCGAGGCACAGGUCGUCCCCUUGUAGCUGUCCUGCCUACUUUUGCAGGAUACUCGGGCGUGCUAGCGAUCUGCCUC